AAAGAAAGAAGGGAUAAAAGAGGAAGGGAAGAGAGGGAAAAGAAGGAAGAAAAGAGAAAGAAGUGACUCCUAGCAGAGGCCAGGCUUACAGAGAGAAGGGUGGAGGUGUGUGGUGGAAGGGGAAAGCCGGCCGGCUGGCAGAGCGCUACGGAGAAAGACACAAGGCUCCUGCGCAGGGAAAGCCGAGGAUGCCACCGCAGGCCUGGCACGACCAGGGCCGUGAUGCCCCGCCCGGCCCGGCCCCAGCGCGCAGAGUACCUGGAGACGAUUUCAACUGAAGUAAUGAAGGCAGUGUCGUGCUGUCGAGAGAAAGGUGGAUCCCAACAACAGGAAACUACCUAAAUCACCGACCAGUUCUGGUGCUGCCCGCGCAGGGCUGCCUCGCCCGCCGCCGCCGACGCCACCGCCGCCGCCGCCGCCGCUGCCGCCGCCGCCAAGGAGAGAACCCUGCGAUCGCGCCCGGCCCAGCGCAGCCCCUAGGCAACCUGCGCCCGCCGCUGCAACGGAAUGCCCCAGGCCGCCACAAAUGCGUCACUGAAGGGGAAGCCACAGGCCCCAGUAAGCCAAAGUCAAGCCCGUUUGCCAACCUGCAUGUCCAUGCCUGUAAGCCCUUCCCUUGGCCAAGGAAGAAAGGAAGAAAGAAAAAAGAAACCCAGGGGCCUGUAUCCCCUGAUUAAACACAGCACAGCACUCCAGGCAGACAUGCCCGGUGGCGGCUCCUUGCACCAUUGACCUCAGGCCAGACACCUCAGCGCCAACAAUGGGACCUCGGCCUUCCGGCUAGGUUUGCCCCAGGCUGGGCAGGAAACCAGCUCGUCCGAACACAGGGGCCAUUUCCAUCAGUAGGACCCCAAGACAGCAAACCCAGCUCAGUCACGACUUGACACUUAAGACAAUAUCUAUCUCUAUAGAAUUUUAGCACGAUAUGGCUUUUUCCCCCAGAAAACAACAAAUAAACCAGCACCAAGCAAACACAAAGAAACAAAAAGUCAGAACAAACCAGCCCUGCACAGACGUAACGGCCCAGGAGAUGGCGAGUGUGGGAGAGAAGAACAGGGCUCCAGCACAGGUGCGAGUUCCUGGGCAGAGGCUGAAGACAGAGGGAAGGGACCAGCGCUCGGGAAGUGAAAAAACCGCGUCGCCUGGAGAUUCAUCAGGAAAAAUUAAA